rnacentral:rRNA from 1 species
UGGGGAAUUUUCCGCAGUGGGCGAAAGCCUGACGGAGCAAUGCCGCGUGGAGGUGGAAGGCCUACGGGUCGUCAACUUCUUUUCUCGGAGAAGAAACAAUGACGGUAUCUGAGGAAUAAGCAUCGGCUAACUCUGUGCCAA